UACAGAGGGUGCAAGCGUUAUCCGGAAUGAUUGGGCGUAAAGAGCUCGUAGGUGGUUUGUCGCGUUGUUCGUGAAAACUCACAGCUCAACUGUGGGCGUGCGGGCGAUACGGGCAGACUGGAGUACUGCAGGGGAGACUGGAAUUCCUGGUGUAGCGGUGGAAUGCGCAGAUAUCAGGAGGAACACCGGUGGCGAAGGCGGGUCUCUGGGCAGUAACUGACGCUGAGGAGCGAAAGCGUGGGGAGCGAACAGG
rnacentral:rRNA from 1 species